CCAAGAGUGACUCACCCAGUGAAGACCAGAGUACUUAUUGUUCCAAGUGUCAAAAUCUGCAGAACUGCCUCCAGGAUUUGGGUCUCAUCCAGCUUCAAUGAACGAAACAUUCCAGCAUCUUCCUCCAGUACCUGUGAAUGCUGCAUUGUCUUCUCCCUGUGGCUUUUGUUUUUGAAAGCUCAUAAAGAGGAACCCAGGAAGUCAGGAGACAGCAGGGUGACCAUUUCCGUCCCCAGAACAGCCUUCAGCCAGUUUCUACAUGCCUCUUGCCAGGGACCAAACUGGCACCUAGGCUGCCCCGGAGGACGCAGAAAACCAGGACCCGGCUGGGGGCUGAAAUGUACUCCAUUGAAGAAUCCUCUGGCCUCCUCAGCACUGGAAGGACCAGCCAGCGGCAGUGAGAGUUUAUCAUUUGGAGGGAGCAUUUGGAUACACAAGCUUCACUGAAAUCUCAUCACAUCCCUCUGAUGGAAGUACUAUUAUCAUCUUUAUCUUGAAGCAUCUGCAUCCUCAGUAGUACUGGAGAGUCACAUCCAGGCUCAGUCCCAGAGCCCGAGUCCUGAUUGGUCCAAGAUGUUGAUGCCCCUAGCCAGAGAUUGGGCUGCUCGUGAUCACGUGGCAAAAUCUGGCCAAUGGCAGCCCUCAGCGGCCCCUCUGCCGUCACAUCAACCUUACACAGAAUGUGUCUCCACGCUCAGUAGCCAAUAACAAAAAUGAUGAAGAAUCUGAUGCAGACGCGGAUAAUUGCUCUGGCUUCCUCCCGUGAAUUUAAAUAGCUUUCUUGAAUUACUGCUUUUGACAUGAUCAAUAAAAUUGAGCUAUUGCUAUAUCAGGCCUUUCAGCAAAUACACAGAAGCCGUGCUCCAGGGCUGGUGGUUCAGGGACUCCAGCUGUCCCGGUGGCUGGGGCCGUGGUCUUAGGGACAGUUGAUGGAGUGAGGACAGGGAUGAGCUGGACCAGCCAGCAGCCAAAACAAGAAAAGCUGAUCAGCUUCAGCAUUCUGCCUUCCAGUUGACCUCAGUUUUCUUAUACUCCUUCCCCCACCAGCCAUGUGACCUUGGGCAUUUGCUAUGUCAUGCUUUGAGCCUCAUUUUUCUCAUCCACACAAUGGGAAUUUUAAUGGUACUUGCCUCAUGGGUUGCUGUGGGGAUUAAGUAGGGAGACACAGAAAGUUCAAUCCAGUGCAGGCCCUUGGGG
ensembl:lncRNA